rnacentral:rRNA from 1 species
AUUGAACGCUGGCGGCAUGCCUUACACAUGCAAGUCGAACGGCAGCGCGGGAGCUUGCUCCUGGCGGCGAGUGGCGAACGGGUGAGUAAUACAUCGGAACGUGUCCGUUUGUGGGGGACAACCAGCCGAAAGGUUGGCUAAUACCGCAUAAGACCUGAGGGUGAAAGCCGGGGACCGCAAGGCCUGGCGCAGACGGAGCGGCCGAUGAUUGAUUAGCUUGUUGGCGGGGUAAAGGCCCACCAAGGCGACAAUCAAUAGCUGGUCUGAGAGGGCGGACAGGCACAACGGGACUGAGACCAGGGCCAGGCUCCCACGGGAGGCAGCAGGUGGGGAUUUUUGACAAUGGGGGGAACCCUGAACCCGCCAUGCCGGGGGCGGGAAGAAGGCCUUCGGGUUGUAAACCGCUUUUGUCAGGGACGAAAAGGGACGGGUUAAGAGCUAGUUCCGCUGACGGUACCUGAAGAAUAAGCACCGGCUAACUACGUGCCAGCCGCCGCCGUAA